rnacentral:lncRNA from 1 species
CUUUCUCCACUUUCUCAAUCGCUUCUCUGUUUCACGUGAAAACUUUCUUUUCCAAAUGAGACUCUUUUUCCUUAUUUCACACUUAUAUAUUUUCCACUUUAUAUUAUUAUCCCAAUAAUAAUAAUAAUUCAAUAAUUCCAAAAUAAUAAUAAUAAUAAUCCAAUUAUCUAAUUAAAUUAAUAAAUAUAUUAUUAACUUAAUUUAAAUAAUUAUCAUAUUAUUAUCGGGGUGUUAC